ACAAAUUUAUGUAAACUUGAGAAAGUUUCUUUUAUCCAAGCACAUAUAAUAUAUUUUGCUUUCAGAUCUGUAAAACUAGCAUUUUAUUGAAUUUACAGAUGAGAAAAGCUGCCGAACUCUGUCAUUUUAUUUGAAGCAUAGUUGUUGAAUGGUCACUGUCACGAUGGACCGGAUGAAUUUUAACCUGCUGAUUAGAGGUCUUGGAAAUGGAUCUGGAGGGUAGUUGCAUUAGUUUUUGGCUAAUACAGUUGAUUCUAGUUUGAAAUUCUACAUUCAUUCUAGGUGGGCAUGAUUUUAUGAGUAAAAAGAAAAACAAUUUCCAACAUUUUACAAGGGUGUGCUAAAUGCCUGUUCAAGAGCCAGAGAAAAUGACCCAAAUAAUUGUUGAAGCAUUGGAACUCACUGGACAAAGAGGGAUCAUUAACAAAGGCUGGGGUGGCCUUGGCAAUUGUAACUCAUGUAGUUUUGUUGGUGGAACUCAGCUAAUACUUGUUUUUGUUGUGUGCCCAGUGGCUGAACCAAAAGGAUUUUGUGUACUUGCUCGAUAUUGUCCCCAUGAUUGGUUAUUCUUACAAUGUUUUGCAGCGUUGGGUGGGGGAAUUGGCAGCUUGGAACUUUUUGUGCCACUGACAAUUACAUUUCUAGAGUGGGAGUUGAGCAGGGAAGGGGAUGGCGGUUAAUCUCUAUUGCUUCAUAAAGGCCACUCUCUCUGGUUCCCAGUCAAUUGAAAGCUUUAACAAACUCCCUUUAUGUGCUUCAUAUUCGAAGUAUCAUCCAGCUUAGCAUGCAUAGGAUAAGUGACACAACCAAUUGUCUCUUUCUUUCCAGGUGCACCAUGGGGGUGCUGGAACAACGGCUGCUGGUCUUAAAGCUGCGGUGAUGAUUUCAGCAGCUUCUGAUUUUUUUUCUUCUCUCGUUUCGUUUUGUGUUUAUUUGGGCUAAUUGUAUCUUAUCGUUAUUUUGAGAUUACUGUGUCCAACAACUGUUGUCCCCUUCUUUGGUGAUCAGCCGUUUUGGGGGGAAAGGGUGCACGCAAGAGGUGUCGGCCCUCCCCCUAUACCUGUCGACGAAUUUUCACUUCCUAAGCUGCCUGAUGCAAUUAAAUUCAUGCUUGAUCCUAAGGUAAAGGAGCAUGCAGUUGAGCUGGCUAAGGCGAUGGAGAAUGAAGAUGGCGUCACUCAGUGGCGGACCCAUGUACAAUUUUUGGGUGCUCCAGCACCCAUUAAAUUCAGUCACGGAGUGUAUAGCUGUAUAGAAAAUAUAAAGGAAACAGAUAUAAAUAGUUAAUAGAGCACCCCCGAACUCAAAAUUCCUGGGUCCAGCACUCCCGAACUCAAAAUCCUGGGUCCGCCACUGGCGUCACUGGAGCAGUAAAAGCCUUCUUUAAGCAUCUUCCCCACAACAAGCACGAGCCUGAUCAAAUACCUGCACCACCAAGUUUAUUUUCUACAAUAAGAAGAUGCUUCGGUUGUUCCUAGAUCUCAAAGUGGAUAAAGAUUCUAUUUUGUCACUAUAACUAUCUAUACUUCGUUCCUGUAAUUGUAGAAUAUUUUUACACACACCCAAUGGUGCUCUCUCCUAGCAAGAGUCUAUAACCUUGAUCAUUACAUUGUUACUCUUAAGUAGUUGAAUACCAUUGUAAAAUGACUAGACAAUUUCAUAUUCAUCAGAAGAUGAAUCGACGUUGUAAAUGACAGUUCUAAAUUGUCCUAGUUAUGUUUUAAGAAUUUUUAUUUAUUUAUCAUGGGAAGUGCUUGCAGUUUAAAAGAAU